rnacentral:rRNA from 1 species
GAUGAACGCUGGCGGCGUGCCUAAUACAUGCAAGUCGAGCGAACAGACGAGGAGCUUGCUCCUCUGACGAUAGCGGCGGACGGGUGUGUCACACGUGUAUACUCUACCUAUCUGACUGGUAUCACUACGGGAAACCGGAGCUAAUACCGGAUAAUCUCUUGAACCGCAUGGUUCAUUAGUGAAAGACGGUUUUGCUGUCUCUUCUCGCUGCUUCUGGGCUGCAUUAGCUAGUUGGUAAGGUAACGGCUUACCAAGGCGACGAUGCGUAGCCGACGUGAGAGGGGGAUCGGCCGCACGGGAACGGGGACGCGGUCCAGAGUCCUACGGGAGGCAGCAGUAGGGAAUCUUCCGCAAUGGGCGAAAGCCUGACAGAGCAACGCCGCGCGAGUGAUGAAGGUCUUCGGAUCGUAAAACUCUGUUAUGAGGGAAGAACAGAUGUGUAAGUAACUAUGCACGUCUUGACGGUACCUAAUCAGAAAGCCACGGCUAACUACGUG